AUAAAGGAACAUGCACCGAGUUGAUUCGAGCUCCGGCUCCGACUCUCCCACCCAAUGUGUACCUACCUCCGUUGCUCUGGCGGGCCGCGGUCCUCCGCACCGGCGCCCUUCGGGGGGCCGGCCAGCGCCCGCCAGAGGACCAUAAAACUCCAGUCAGUGAACCUCGCAGUCUGAAAAACAAGUUAAUAAACUAAAACUCUCAACAAACGGAUCUCUUGGUUCUGGCAUCGAUGAAGAACGCAGCGAAAUGCGAUAAGUAAUGUGAAUCGCAGAAUUCAGUGAAUCAUCGAAUCUUUGAACGCACAUUGCGCCCCUCGGUAUUCCGAGGGGCAUGCCUGUUCGAGCGUCAUUUCAACCCUCAAGCUCUGCUUGGUAUUGGGCCCCGUCCUCCACGGACGCGCCUUGAAGACCUCGGCGGUGGCGUCUUGCCUCAAGCGUAGUAGAAAACACCUCGCUUUGGAGCGCACGGCGUCGCCCGCCGGACGAACCUUUUGAAUUACUUCUCAAAGGUUGACCGCGGGAUCAGGUAGGGAUACCCGCUGAACUGUAAU
rnacentral:rRNA from 1 species